CCGGACACAGUCGUCACGUAUGUUUCGCGAAUAUUUUUGCCGUCGCCGUUCUCUGUGCGGAUACGUUGUGGUGCGAACGUUUUUUCGAAAGAGGAUUUGGACGUGACGUCGUGUCCGACCGGCGACGUAGAUUUAAAUGCGAUUCGUAUUUGAGCUGCUCAGAUCUAUCCUGCCCAGAAUUGUCCUCACCUGCCACCUGAACCUCGACUACCGAAGGGGGCCAACAUCGCGCCCCACAGUGUCUGGAGCUGCUUCCGAAAUUCGGUAACGAAGCAUCAUCGCGUACACGGCUAGCGGGUAGCUCUGGUGCAAAGUGCUCGAAGAAUAGUCUAAAACAGUGCCGAUUCACUGAUCCUGUAACCCGCCUUGAAUACGUCAUUAGGAGAAAUAAGCAUUCAAUGAACGUUUCGUGACGUCAUCGGUAUUUCAGUGAAUGGGCUGCCAUUCGAACGAUUAGGCCGGCCGGUGUUGGUUUAUAACGGCGACGAUUUUCCGCACGUUUUCAAUUUAACGGCGUUGUUACUUUGGUGGGCGACGUGUGUGGAUCCACUUUUGCGGAAGAAGAUUUCCAACGCGACUCGAUAUGUGAAGUAUUCCUACAGCACGCCAUUUUGCUGCGUGCGAUGCCCCACGUGUCUUGGGAUGCACAUAAAAAUUAAGUAUACUAAUAUAAAAUAUAUUGAUAUAAAAUUGAUAUAAAGUGGUCGUAAAUUAAAAAUUGUGAACUGGCGUCACUAGAAAAUACAUAUAAUAUAAAAAAUCCGAGUGUCGCCUAAAAAUUGUGUUGAAAAAAGUAUUCAAAUACCUCGAAAACUAAUCCAAACGUUGUUGUACCCCGAAAUUUAGCGUAAGAGGCAGAUUACAAAUGCAACCUGAGUAUUGUUACUUCUUGAAUGACGACCUACGUAGUUUCACAUCUACCAACCAUACAAGAGAAUAAAUUUUCAAUGCAAUUCAAAAGAAAAUUGGGUUAGGUUCGAUAGUUUGCAAAUAGAGAUACAGAAUGGUAGAAGUUAUAAAACAAAAAUUAAAUAAAACGCGACAGUACAGAUGAAAUAGUCAAGCUUUGGACGUAGUCAAGGCUCUUGCCUAGUAUUAUUUAUUUGCUUCGAAAAAGUUGUCACAUGUGAGUAAACAUUUUCUAGUCGAAAAAUAAUGAUUAAUAUCUAGUAAAGGUUAUAACUCAUAUUACACGAAUGAAAAUGUCUGGCUGCCAGUGCGGCUGUCAAAUAAGCAAUGACGUCAUGGACAAUGAGAGCGCGUUUAGCGAAUUGGAACCGAUAAGCACAUUUCUUACAGUUUUUUUUGUAAAUGUUGUUUUAUUAUUCGAAACAUAAUUAUUAAUACUAUUUUUGGUAAUUUUAUGAUAAUGUGACGAAAUUAUUUUUUUUUGAGAUCACCUCUAUUCGGUAAAAUGGAUUUUUACGAAUAAAGAUAGGCGGUGAUCCUGCAUUCCUUAUCAGCUCCUUUAAGUUUCAGCAAAAGUGUUAUUGCUCCUGUAUCACGUUCGUUUUAUCAAACUUGCGAAUUUUAUCAUCAUUACGUUUUGUGUGUCAGAAUUGUGCGGCUGGCGCCUGUACCCAGCUCUCGAAACGAUGUUUUUUCGUUUUCGCAAUUCUUCGGAUUUUGUUCGGGUCGAUUUCGAAAAUAGUGUCGGGUGUUUUUCACGGGUAAGAUUUUUUUUUCAGAAGCGUUGAACUACAUUUUUUUGUUUUUUCCACAAAUAGUUAGAAAGUCGUCCACCCACUGGAAAAAUAAUUCAAAAUACCAUGAAAAAUAACAUUUUUUUCUUUGUUUUCGAAAAAUUUAAAAAUCGAUCUACUUUUGGUGGAUUAAUAAACCGAGUCCUUUUAAAUUGUUAUCUUACAUUCUGUCUGAAUCUAGGGUUACGAGAUCAGAUAAAAUAAUAUUGUCCGUGAAUGGGAUUUUUAAACUCAACUGGAUUUAGAGCUUGUUUUCGACGUUUAUAUCGUCGAUGACGUAGUUCUAAGCGAACUCAUGUUACACUAUCGGAUUCUCGAUUCAUUCGGUGGCGCUUUUAAAAAAAACGGUAAAAACGUCGAUAAUUACCGAGUUUGCGAAAGUUGGUAAUCUUUUUUAUAUUUUUUGAAAAUAAAAAUUUUGAGACACGUUAUAGAGUCGUCCCGAUUACAUUUGUUUGAUCUCCAGUGUAGUGAGUUCUUUUUACGGAAUUCCGGCGUUUUUCGCGGAAAUCUGGUAAAAAUAGCAAAACGAACUCGACAAAAAAACCGUUAGGCACUUUUUUCUGUUCCCUAUCUUAUCGAUGCCAUGGUAUUUCGGGAUUGUUGAUAAAAUUAACGUCCGUUCAGGUAGUCCCAGUUUGUACCUCGAUGUAAAUAGAUACGAGGUUCGUGCAGCGUCUUUUUUAUAUUUGCACCAUCUAUUAAUAAUAAAUCCUACGCAUACCACAUGAUCAAAGUUUUUGUUUUAUUUUUUGGUGAGUAAAAAAUGCUAAUAAUGGUAAUUUAUAUUUUUUAGCUCGGGAGAAGAAUUGACAUUGACGUGCAUCUGCUAUGGCUUUAUUGGAUUCAGAUUAAAGUGGGACGAAACUGGUUUUCACAGUGAUUUGACAGAUGCGUUUGACUCUGAGAUCAUUGUGAAAGCUGAUUUUGUCAGCUUCUCAUCGAGGGACACUGCAUGCCACUUUAUAUUGUAUACCACCACGGAGUAUCGGAAUGAAUUAACCAUUGGGAUAGAAGAACUGGCCACCUUUUCGAUGUAUUAGAUUUACUUAUGCAGUUUGUAAAGCUUUGUGUAAAUAAAAAACAUACUUUUCUAUUGGUCAUACCCGGUAUGCGGGGUAUAUUGUGUUGCCCGUUUCAGAUUGGACCUAUAAUUACAAAAAAAUGACCCACAUUUGUGUAGCUUUACCUACGUGGCAGUAAUUUACUAAUGUCACCGUAGAAUUUUGGGGAAAUUUUAAUUCAGCAAAAUAUCAUAAAAACCGAAAGAAUUUAAAUGUAAGACAAUAAAUCGUCAAAAUAAAUGCUAGCAAAUGAAAUAAAGCAGUGUUGCUCAGAAAUAGACUUAAAUUGCAGAAGUUCCACUGUCCAAAUUUUUUAAAUGUAAAAAAAAAUGAAGGACGUCUAAAGCACCCAACUAUCUACAGCGGGCAUUAAAUUUUCCUCAACUAGUUAACAGUUGAGUUGAGUUGAGUUUUUUUUGUUUUGUCCGUCUAAAUAUAUUCAUCCUCUAAUUUAUUUUGUUACUAGGGCCUUAAGUUCAAAGAAGAAAAUUCGAUUCCUGUACCCUUGUUUUAUCCAAUUCAUGAAAAUAAUAUCCAAUCAAAAACGA